rnacentral:rRNA from 1 species
GCGAGUGAAGCGGCAAUAGCUCAAAUUUGAAAUCUGGCGCCUUCGGUGUCCGAGUUGUAAUUUGAAGAAGGUAUCUUUGGUUUUGGCUCUUGUCUAUGUUCCUUGGAACAGGACGUCACAGAGGGUGAGAAUCCCGUGCGAUGAGAUGCCCAAUUCCAUGUAAAGUUCCUUCGACGAGUCGAGUUGUUUGGGAAUGCAGCUCUAAGUGGGUGGUAAAUUCCAUCUAAAGCUAAAUAUUGGCGAGAGACCGAUAGCGAACAAGUACUGUGAAGGAAAGAUGAAAAGAACUUUGAAAAGAGAGUGAAAAAGUACGUGAAAUUGUUGAAAGGGAAGGGCUUGAGAUUAGACUUGGAAUUUUCCAUUUUUGGAGCUUUCCGGGCCAGCAUCAGUUUGGAUGGCAGGAUAAUUGCGUUGGAAAGUAACACUACUUCGGUGGUGUAUUAUAGACUUCGUCGAUACUGCCUAUCUAGACUGAGGACCGCGUCUUUGACUAGGAUGCUGGCGUAAUGAUCUUAAGCCGCCC